rnacentral:rRNA from 1 species
CUACGGGAGGCAGCAGUGGGGAAUAUUGGACAAUGGGCGAAAGCCUGAUCCAGCCAUGCCGCGUGUGUGAAGAAGGUCUUCGGAUUGUAAAGCACUUUAAGUUGGGAGGAAGGGCAGUAAGUUAAUACCUUGCUGUUUUGACGUUACCAACAGAAUAAGCACCGGCUAACUUCGUGCCAGCAGCCGCGGUAAUACGAAGGGUGCAAGCGUUAAUCGGAAUUACUGGGCGUAAAGCGCGCGUAGGUGGUUUGGUAAGAUGGAUGUGAAAUCCCCGGGCUCAACCUGGGAACUGCAUCCAUAACUGCCUGACUAGAGUACGGUAGAGGGUGGUGGAAUUUCCUGUGUAGCGGUGAAAUGCGUAGAUAUAGGAAGGAACACCAGUGGCGAAGGCGACCACCUGGACUGAUACUGACACUGAGGUGCGAAAGCGUGGGGAGCAAACAGGAUUAGAUAUCCCUGGUAGUCCACGCCGUAAACCGAUGUCGAGCUAGCCCGUUGGGAUCCUU